CACUGAGGGCUUGCUCUGAGGAAAACACAACAUUUCUGGGGUUUGUUGCCUUUAUCAGCUGGAGGAAGAAGGCUGUUUGAGUUUGGAGAGUUCUGUUUUGGUUUGGUUUUUUUUAAAUAAGAACUGCUAUAUUCUGAAAGCAAAUGAAGCAAAGUACCUCUCUAGGAAAACAGACAAUGACAUAGUUACAGAUUGUCAAUGAUUUGUGGAGAUGGCUGCAAAAUGGAGAAGCUGAACUAACAGAGAAGAAAAAUGAGAGAAAUCUGGAAAGAGAAUUGAAAGAGAUGUAGACAGCGCCAUAGUCUGCUAAUGAAAAAACUCUAAGAGUAGGUAUUUGUGACUGAGGGAAAAACCUCAAUGAGCCUAGAUGCUCCUCCCGUAAAGUCAGCAAAAAACCACCAGGGCUGCAUACCUUGUGGCUGAGCGGAAGAUGGCACGUCAGCAGCAGGGUAUUUGCAAUGUGUGGAGCAGAAGACCGAAGAGAGCCUGGCUGAUUCUGGAACUAGGCAAUAACUUCGAACUCUAACUUCAUGCUUUCAUUGAGAACAUAGAUUCUACAGCAAGGAAGCAACAAUUUCCUGCAGAGCUUUUCCAGACUUGGAUCAAGAGUCAGCAGCUGGCGAAACUGCUGUUGGGUAAAAGUAGAUGGCCACAGCCUGACACUUCAUGUCACUUGUUUUGAUAAGAAAUCCUCUGUGUUAUUUGUGAAUACAUGCAUGUUGCAAACCAUUGGAGACACAAAUAAUACAGAAAUAAGCUCUUUUUCAAAUACUUUUUAGUUUUGUUUUCAUGGAUAGUUGGGGGUGCUGUGAACCAUCUGAGAUAAAUGUGUAUGUAGAAAUCAAAACAUUAUUUGAAGAGAUGUGCAGAUGAGGAAGCUAUUAAGUGGAGAUGAAGCAAGAUUACACAUCUAUAAUUAAAAUACAGUAAUGCAGACUUUUAAAGAAGCUCAGUAAUUUAUAGAUCUUCAGCAAAAGAUGAAACAUAAAAUUGUUAUAUGCAAGCUUUUUGCUCAGGGAUUCAUUCUAAUAAAUAGUUUAAGCACUGCGUAUCAGCUCUCAAAUCAACUAUUAUAUCGAUUACUAUGUCAUAUUUUGAAGGGAACUAAACACCCCAAUGUCAGAAGAAUUCAUACGCCAUAUCUUUAACUUUAAAGAAUUGUUAAAAACCCAGCUGCACAUUAACCACUCUUCUCAUGAAACACGUGUUAUCUACUUUACCACUCUUGACCUUAUCAUAUGGUAAUUUUCUAGCUUUUAAGAUGUAAUUUUUGAGAUUUUCAGAUGUACUUCCAGUUUCUUCCUAAGGUGCUUUUGCUAUCUUAAGUAGUCUUUAAAUGAU